CCUGUCAUCUUGCUGGUGAUUUCCACCUCAGCUUCCAAACAACGCUGUGGGUUGGAAAGCUCUCUGGGGCCUGUACCUGGUCCAGGACGGUCAGCAGCAUCCCUGGCUUCUACCAACUGGACACGCUGGUCCUGCCUGACCCCCAGGAUUGACACCCCAAAGUUUCUCUGUUUGUUGCCAGAAUCACCCCGGGGCUGAGAACCCCUGGGCUGGUUCCUGCCACCAGUGUGUGUACAAAGAGCCCAGGGCCUCAGUCCAGUUUCUGUCCCAUCCUCUCUGCCUCCUCGUCCCUUCCCAGUCCCUUCCCAGCAGGGUCCACCCACCUCUGAGCGACCUGGCCCUGCCCUCCUCUGAAAAUCCUCCCGGACGAAGCUUUACUGUUGGCAGAAGCUCCCAAGGAAGGGAGGAGGGCCAACAAAGGCCGAGGGGGCCCCCAGCCCCUCCCAGCUUCCUCCCUCCCUGGCCACAAGGACACGAGGCCCGGAGGGACAGACAGACAGACAGAUAGGGAGGCUCAGGGUGGACUCUUGUUGUCUGAGCUGGACCUCAGAGUCACUUCUCCUCCCUGUAUAAUGCAACUCGAACUCAACCCCCUUGCUCACAAACCUUCUAUGGCUCCCCAUUGCCUCCCCGGCUGGACCCUGGGGCUCUCGCUCACCUCUCCAGCCUUGUCUCCCACCACUCCUUUGCCCACACCCCCGCCGAACCACACAACCUCUCCAGACACCCCCGGGUGGCUCCCCUCCCUGCCUGCCCUGUCUGAACCUUCGAGCUCCAGGGCCACAGUCACUGACCCUCAGCUCCAGCACACAGUGGAUUUUCCCUCACCCAGGUCCCCAGUGCACUUCCAGCUCCCGCCCCCACCCUCUCACUGUUUGGGGGACAUCUGGAUGCCUGACAAGUCCUCCCCACAAGACUGUGAGCUCCCUGGGGCCAGGGGCUGUGUCUGAGUCACCUCCUACACGUCCCCGGAGCCAAGCAGAGCCGGCAAUGGAGAAAGUGCCCAAGGAUGCUGUUGGAAGGGGCAGUCUGGAACAUCCGUCGUUGCCAUAUCCAUGAGUGAGGGGGAAGCUGCAACAUCAGCCUGCGUGACAGAGGAGGAGCCUGAGGUCAGGGAGACACAGAGACAAGCCCAAGAUCACGCAGUAAGCAGAGCGCCCCCUGAGCCAAGGGUCGGACCCUGCUGCCUCCAUCUGCCCUGGAGCCCUUGAUCCCACUUCUCCUGGGGGCUGGUCCCACUGACAUGGGCACUGGGUCAUGACCGGGGCGGGGGGUCACGCCUGGGGCCUGGCAGGCACCAGCAUGGCCAUGCCCCACCCCCUGCCUGCCCGUGGCCGCAGCACAAGCUAGCCAUUCUUGGCAAGACAAAGGCCGGCUGGGGCAGAGCGGGUCUGGUGUCUCCCCGGUGGGUGUCUGGCCUCUGCAGGACGUCAGUAAUGGGUUCUGGUGGCCAGUGCUCUGCUCCUGGGGGCUGCAAAUCAGAUUAGUCCAGCCCCAGUCCAGCCCUGAGCCACCAGGAAGAGACGCAGCUGCCAGGCCUGGGCCUGCCGCCCUCCGGGGGUGCACAAACCCUGGCCCCGAGAGACCCCCAACCUUGCUGUGGGGUCCAGGUCAUGCCUCUUCUCCUCUCUGGACUCCCACGGCCAAUCUGCAAGACCAACAGGUUGAGUGUGACCUUUUGAGGCCUUCUUGAGGUGGUGUUUGGAAAUGCUGCCAGUGCAAGGCGAGUGCACAGCGUAUGGUCAUCGAGAACUGCCUCGGGCGUCAGCCUCUGCCACCCAUCACAGCCCUGUCCUCAGGCCCAACCCCCAUGCCAGCCCAGAGUUCAGUAAGCCACCCUACCGGCCCUCUUACCCCCUGAGACCUACCUUCCCCAGGGCUGGGUGCUUGGGACAGGGAGGGAGGGGAGCACUCAUUCCCUUGAGCCUCACAUGUCUACGUCUACCCAUCCAUCCACUCUAUCUGUCCAUCCAUCCCUCCACUCGUCCGUCCGUCCGUCCAUCCAUCCAUCCAUCCAUCCAUUCACCCACCCCAUCUGUCCAUCCAUCCAUCUACCCCAUCCAGCCACUCAUCCAUUCAUCUAUCCAUCCAUUUAUCCAUUCAUUCAUCCA
ensembl:lncRNA